ACGAACGCUGGCGGCGUGCUUAACACAUGCAAGUCGAACGGAAAGGCCCUGCUUGCAGGGUACUCGAGUGGCGAACGGGUGAGUAACACGUGGGUGAUCUGCCCUGCACUUCGGGAUAAGCCUGGGAAACUGGGUCUAAUACCGGAUAGGAGCCAUUUUUAGUGUGAUGGUUGGAAAGUUUUUUCGGUGUAGGAUGAGCUCGCGGCCUAUCAGCUUGUUGGUGGGGUAAUGGCCUACCAAGGCGGCGACGGGUAGCCGGCCUGAGAGGGUGGACGGCCACAUUGGGACUGAGAUACGGCCCAGACUCCUACGGGAGGCAGCAGUGGGGAAUAUUGCACAAUGGGCGCAAGCCUGAUGCAGCGACGCCGCGUGGGGGAUGACGGCCUUCGGGUUGUAAACUCCUUUCGCUAGGGACGAAGCUUUUGUGACGGUACCUAGAGAAGAAGCACCGGCUAACUACGUG
rnacentral:rRNA from 1 species